AAAUGAAGGUUGCAUGGUAAUGUGCACAGGAAUUGAUGGGUCAACAUGUCUGCUCUCUCUGAUUCUCUGAUUUGAUGGCCUGGUUACAACCUAAACUU